UGGGGAAUUUUGGACAAUGGGCGAAAGCCUGAUCCAGCAAUGCCGCGUGUGUGAAGAAGGCCUUCGGGUUGUAAAGCACUUUUGUCCGGAAAGAAAUCCUUGGCUCUAAUACAGUCGGGGGAUGACGGUACCGGAAGAAUAAGCACCGGCUAACUACGUGCCAGCAGCCGCGGUAAUACGUAGGGUGCAAGCGUUAAUCGGAAUUACUGGGCGUAAAGCGUGCGCAGGCGGUUUGCUAAGACCGAUGUGAAAUCCCCGGGCUCAACCUGGGAACUGCAUUGGUGACUGGCAGGCUAGAGUAUGGCAGAGGGGGGUAGAAUUCCACGUGUAGUAGUGAAAUGCGUAGAGAUGUGGAGGAAUACCGAUGGCGAAGGCAGCCCCCUGGGCCAAUACUGACGCUCAUGCACGAAAGCGUGGGGAGCAAACAGGAUUAGAUACCCUGGUAGUCCACGCCCUAAACGAUGUCAACUAGUUGUUGGGGAUUCAUUUCCUUAGUAACGUAGCUAACGCGUGAAGUUGACCGCCUGGGGAGUACGGUCGCAAGAUUAAAACUUAAAGGAAUUGACGGGGUCAUAGCUGUUUCCU
rnacentral:rRNA from 1 species